rnacentral:rRNA from 1 species
ACAUGCAAGUCGAACGGCAGCACGGGAGCAAUCCUGGUGGCGAGUGGCGAACGGGUGAGUAAUAUAUCGGAACGUGCCCAGUCGUGGGGGAUAACGUAGCGAAAGCUACGCUAAUACCGCAUACGAUCUAUGGAUGAAAGCGGGGAUCGCAAGACCUCGCGCGAUUGGAGCGGCCGAUAUCAGAUUAGGUAGUUGGUGAGGUAAAGGCUCACCAAGCCGACGAUCUGUAGCUGGUCUGAGAGGACGACCAGCCACACUGGGACUGAGACACGGCCCAGACUCCUACGGGAGGCAGCAGUGGGAAUUUUGGACAAUGGGCGCAAGCCUGAUCCAGCAAUGCCGCGUGCAGGAUGAAGGCCUUCGGGUUGUAAACUGCUUUUGUACGGAACGAAACGGUGAGCUCUAAUACAGUUUGCUAAUGACGGUACCGUAAGAAUAAGCACCGGCUAACUACGUG